AUUGAACGCUGGCGGCAGGCCUAACACAUGCAAGUCGAGCGAGCGGCGGACGGGUGAGAAAUGUCUGGGAAACUGUCUGAUAGAGGGGGAUAACCACUGGAAACGGUAGAUAAUACCGCAUAUAAUCAGAUGUGCACAGAUGGGAUCAGCUAGUAGGUGGGGUAACGUGUCACCCAGGCGACGAUCCCUAGCUGGUCUGAGAGGAUGACCACCCAAACUGGAAGUGAGACACGGUCCAGACUCCUACGGGAGGCAGCAGUGGGGAAUAUUGCACAAUGGGCGCAAGCCUGAGGCAGCCAUGCCGCGUGUGUGAAGAAGGCCUUCGGGUUGUAAAGCACUUUCAGCGGGGAGGCGUUACCCGCAGAAGAAGCACCGGCUAACUCCGUGCCAGCAGCCGCGGUAAUUC
rnacentral:rRNA from 1 species